UUUAUUUACAAACUCCAUGGGGAUGCUCACCAUCCUUUCAACGCCGCAGGAGAUAUUUUCAACCCUGCUGUAUCGAAUCAGCGAGAGAGAGAGAGAGAGAGAGAUAAAAAAAAUUAAUAGCUGGCUAAAAACAACAGGGAACGUUUCCAGUGACAAAUGCCUCCCCCGUGAGCUCUUCUGAAGUUUAAAAGUCCAGUGGAGGAACCUUCCAGCUGAGAGAACCAGCAAGACAACAGAUGUUUCCGCCAAGCUACCUUUAGUCGAGAGAAGAGGAUUUGCUCCAGGUCAAGAUGCACCUUUUGGUAGUCCUCGAUUUACAACCGUUUCGUUUAGUGACCGUUUGAAGUUACGACAGCACUGGAAAAAAAGGGACUUAUUGGGGAGGGGGGAAGCCAAGUUCACUUACCAACCAUGUUCCUAAUUUAAUAGCUGCCGUGAUUCGCUUAGCAACCGUGGUGAAAAAGGUCGUAAAACAGGUCAAAACUCGCUUGAUACAUGUCUCGCUGAGCAACAUGAAUUUUGGGCGCCAUUGUGAUCGUAAACCGAGGACCAUCUGUACUUAAUAAAGAAUUUAAGAGGGCC